AGAGUUUGAUCCUGGCUCAGGAUGAACGCUAGCGGGAGGCUUAACACAUGCAAGUCGAGGGGCAACAGGAGUAGCAAUACUUGCUGGCGACCGGCGCACGGGUGAGUAACGCGUAUGCAACCUACCCAUAACAGGGGGAUAGCUUCCGGAAACGGAAAUUAAUACCCCAUAGGAUUCAAAGGCCGCAUGGUCAAUGGAUUAAAACUACGGUGGUUAUGGAUGGGCAUGCGUGCCAUUAGCUAGUUGGCGGGGUAACGGCCCACCAAGGCGACGAUGGCUAGGGGGUCUAAAAGGAUGAUCCCCCACACUGGUACUGAGACACGGACCAGACUCCUACGGGAGGCAGCAGUGAGGAAGAUUGGUCAAUGGGCGAGAGCCUGAACCAGCCAUCCCGCGUGCAGGAAGACGGCCCUAUGGGUUGUAAACUGCUUUUUUAUGGGAAGAAAAAGCUCUACGUGUAGGGCACUGACGGUACCAUAUGAAUAAGCAUCGGCUAACUCCGUGCCAGCAGCCGCGGUAAUACGGAGGAAGCGAGCGUUAUCCGGAUUUAUUAAGUUUAAAGGGUGUGUAGGCGGAUUAUUAAGUCAGUGGUGAAAUCUCAGAGCUUAACUCUGAAACUGCCAUUGAUACUGGUAAUCUUGAGUACAGUUGAAGUAGGCGGAAUGUGUAAUGUAGCGGUGAAAUGCUUAGAUAUUACACAGAACACCGAUUGCGAAGGCAGCUUACUAAGCUGUUACUGACGCUGAUGCACGAAAGCGUGGGGA
rnacentral:rRNA from 1 species